CGGCAACAGCUCAAAUUUGAAAUCUGGCUCUUCUAGGGUCCGAGUUGUAAUUUAGAGAAGUGUUACCCGUGCUGGACUAUGUAAAAGUCUUCUGGAAUGAAGCAUCAUGGAGGGUGAGAAUCCCGUCUUUGACAUAGACUACCAGUACAUUGUGGUAUGCUCUCAAC
rnacentral:rRNA from 1 species